rnacentral:rRNA from 1 species
ACUCGAGUGGCGAACGGGUGAGUAACACGUGGGUGAUCUGCCUUGCACUCUGGGAUAAGCUUGGGAAACUGGGUCUAAUACCGUAUAGGAACCGUCUUUAGUGUGGUGGUUGGAAAGUUUUUCGGUGCAAGAUGAGCUCGCGGCCUAUCAGCUUGUUGGUGGGGUAAUGGCCUACCAAGGCGACGACGGGUAGCCGGCCUGAGAGGGUGUACGGCCACAUUGGGACUGAGACACGGCCCAG